rnacentral:lncRNA from 1 species
AAUGGUUAUUACCUUGGUCUGUAACCCCAAGGUCAAGGGUUCAACCCCAAGCGCCCUUUAUUUUGCUUCUUUCCAUUUUUUCUUUUUUUUUUCUUUUUUUUUCUUUUUACUUUUCUUUUUUUUUAUCUAUUAUUCUUCAUCACUUAAUCAUUUUUAAUCUUUUGUUUCCCAUUUGUUUUCCCUUCGUUAAUUCUUUUUACUAAACAUAACUCCCAUCAAUAUCUUUUUAUCAUUACUAUUCAGUUUCAUCA